GAUCAUUAUUGAAAACUACUCUUAGUUUUUUAUAUCCCAUUGUAUUAUCCACCCUGUUGCUUCUACUGGACUGUUUUACUUGUGGGUAAGAUUUACCUCUAGGUAAAACCUCAGGCUUGUGUGAACCACACUUGCCAGAGAGCUGCCAGUAGCAAGACCAAUUGCUAAAACUUUGUUGUGAAAUAUAUUGUCUGAAUUUUGUGUCUUGAAAAUGAAAUAAAACUUUCAACAACGGAUCUCUAGGCUCUUGCAUCGAUGAAGAACGCAGUGAAAUGCGAUAAGUAAUGUGAAUUGCAGAAUCUCGUGAAUCAUUGAAUCUUUGAACGCACAUUGCGCCCUAUGGUAUUCCAUAGGGCAUACCUGUUUGAGCGUUAGCUCCCCACCCUUCUCAAGCAUUAUUUUAUAAUGUUUGGAUUUAUUUGGAGAGGCACCUCUGUCAUGGAGGUACCCUUCAGAAAUGAAUAUGGCAGUAUAGUUUAUAUUUGAACUAGGCGUAMUACAUAAUAAAGUCGCUGAGUUUAUCAUAUUUGUACUUGCCUGAACCCACCCAUUAUUAAAUCGGGUAACCUUCAAAUCAGGUAGGGAUACCCGCUGAACUUAAGCAUAUCAAUAAGCGGAGGAAAAGAAACCAACAGGGAUUGCCCUAGUAACGGCGAGUGAAGCGRCAMAAGCUCAGAUUUGGAAUCUGGCGUCAUUGUGGCGUCCGAGUUGUAGUCUGAAGAGRGGAAUUCAAGUGUAGCUUUGGCUUAAGUUCCUUGSAACAGGACGUCAUAGAGGGUGAGAACCCCGUUAAUGGCCUUUGUCUUAUGCUUAUGUGAAUCUCCUUCAAUGAGUCGAGUUGUUUGGGAAUGCAGCUCUAAAUGGGUGGUAAAUUCCAUCUAAAGCUAAAUACUGGCAAGAGACCGAUAGCGCACAAGUAGAGUGAUCGAAAGAUGAAAAGAACUCUGAACAGAGAGUUAAAUAGUACGUGAAAUUGUUGAAAGGGAAGCACUUGUAACCAGACAUGCUUGCAGAYUGAUCAWUUCWGAUUUKUGAGGAUGCACUCAGUUGUUAGCGAGCCAACAUCAGUCAUGGUGACAGGAAAAAGACCAAGGAAAGGUAGCUCCUUUCGGGGAGUGUUAUAGUCCUGGGUGUAAUGCUGCCUACUAUGAUUGAGGACCGCUGCUUUGGCGAGGAUGUYGGCAUAAUGGUUUUAAGUGACCCGUCUUGAAACACGGACCAAGGAGUCUAACAUCUAUGCGAGUGUUUGGGUGUUGAAACCCUUUCGCGAAAUGAAAGUGAAUGGAGGUGGGAACCGCAAGGUGCACCAUCGACCGAUCCUGAUGUUUUCGGAUGGAUUUGAGUAAGAGCAUAGCUGUUGGGACCCGAAAGAUGGUGAACUAUGCCUGGAUAGGGUGAAGCCAGAGGAAACUCUGGUGGAGGCUCGCAGCGGUUCUGACGUGCAAAUCGAUCGUCAAAUUUGGGUAUAGGGGCGAAAGACUAAUCG
rnacentral:rRNA from 1 species